GACGAACGCUGGCGGCGUGCUUAACACAUGCAAGUUGAACGGAAAGGCCCUGCUUUUGUGGGGUGCUCGAGUGGCGAACGGGUGAGUAACCCGUGAGUAACCUGCCCUUGACUUUGGGAUAACUUCAGGAAACUGGGGCUAAUACCGGAUCGGAGCUCCUGCUGCAUGGUGGGGGUUGGAAAGUUUCGGCGGUUGGGGAUGGACUCGCGGCUUAUCAGCUUGUUGGUGGGGUAGUGGCUUACCAAGGCUUUGACGGGUAGCCGGCCUGAGAGGUUGACCGGGCACAUGGGGACUGAGAUACGGCCCAGACGCCAACUGGAGACAGCAGGGGGGAGUAUGGCACAAUAGGCGGAAGCCUAGGGCGGCAACGCCGCGGUCGGGAUGACGGCCUGCGGGUAGUAAACCGCUUUCGCCUAAGACGAAGCGUGAGUGACGGUAAUGGAAAAAGAAGCACCGGCUAACUACGUG
rnacentral:rRNA from 1 species